rnacentral:tRNA from 1 species
GGCUCUGAAGUAUAUAUUACGUUGAAUUGCAAAUUCGAAAAAGCAGCUUAGGUGCUGUCGGAGCUU